UUUAUUUUUUACUGGUAUUUUCGGCAUUUUCCAAUAACACCCUCCCUACCCCCUUGGGUUGUGUUUUUUUUUUUCCUUUAAAUAGCCCCUUUUCCAGCUACCUGGGUCCACAGUCCUCUACCCCUGUGUGGUGUAUGACUGUGGGCCCCAAGCGUGCCUGAAAUAAAAAGUUCUCUUGCGGUUUGCAUCAAGGCCAUUUCUUGUGAGUGAUUUGGGGUUUCUCCUCUCCUGAGUAAGAAUGUGGGGGAGUCCUCACUUUGUGGGUCUUUCAUUUGGUGCAUUGGCCAGGAAAUGCAACCACCCAUCUCAUCUGAGAACUGACUUGGAGGUAAGGAGAUCCCCUCUGGAAUGUGUGCAUGCCAGCCGACAUGUCUGUUCUGAGUAUCUGUUUUCUGACCUGUAGUAUCCCACAAGCCUGAAGCAGGGUGAGCCAGAACUUGACCUUGCUGCCACUAAGGAGAUUAUCUAGGGUGGAGCCUUCUGCCCAAGAUCACUCUAUUGUUCAGCCACUGUUGCUGUUUCUCUUCAAGGUACUGUUACCUGCUGAGAAGCCCCCCUGAUCUAUUCUGGAGACUUUGCUCUAUCCUGCACGUCAUCACCUGCAGCUAGUUCCAGGCUCCAAGCAUGAAUUGGUGGGAAUGGGCCUCCCCCCUCUUUUAUAAAGUGUGUCUGCCAUUAAACAUUUGAACCCUGAGUUGUUUUCUUGGUUCCAUUAUUUCUUGACCCGCCUAGGCUCCCUCUUUUCUUUCAGUUCCAAGAUGCCUUCAAGGCUCAAACCCGGACAUGAGAGCCCCAGGCCGGCCCCUACAAUUUGGUGCCCAAUGUGGCGCCUGGGAUAGGCAGAGGACAUUUGGAAGAAACACUGCUGGUUUAGAGCUCCUUGGAAGAAGUAAAGAAUUAAAGAAAAUUUGUACUGGAGAAGGUUGGUACAGGCUAAGCUGGAACAGUGCUAAAUCCACGUGCUAGAUUCACUUAGGAUCAGCAGUGAGUUAUCGGGAACUAAGAACUCAGUGGAAAGGCAGUCGACCACAGCUGAAAAACCAGUGAAUAAUGGGUGGUGUUAGCAUUCUGUCUACACUCCACCCCAGAGUUACUUGGCAACAUCCAGGUAGGCCUGACCUACUAUAAACAGGGCUGCUUGCCCCCUCCUCCGUUUCUGGAUCUCUUGCUUUCUUAUUUCCCAGUUGCUACUUUCUUGCCCUCUUGGGCUCUUCCUUUCUCCCUUCCUUUCCUCAUUCCCUUUCCCCUCUCUCCACAUGGUAGUGGCUGGCCUCUACUUCUCUACUCUCUCCCUCUCUCUUCUUUCUCUGCCCCUACUACCCUCUUAACUCCCCUCCCCAUCCCCUGAAUAAACUCACGUGGCUG
rnacentral:lncRNA from 1 species